GUUUAAUAAAAACACAGGUCCCCGCGAGCCCGUAAGGGUGUGUACGGGGGCUGAAUCCUGGCCACUGGCGGUCCGUUAAGCCCGGGUCCAACCGGGUGAAGCGUCGCUGAAGGCCGGGAGUAACUCUGACUCUCUUAAGGUAGCCAAAUGCCUUGCCGGGUAAGUUCCGGCGCGCAUGAAUGGAUCAACGAGGUCCCCGCUGUCCCAGCCUGGGGCCCGGUGAACCCACCUGGUGGUGCAAAGUCCACCAACCCCCAGCGGGACGAGAAGACCCCGUGGAGCUUUACCGCAGCCUGUCGCUGGGGCAUGGUCGCGGAUGCAUAGUGUAGGCGGGAGCCGUCGAAGUGGUCCUUUCGGGGACCAUGGAGGCGUCCAUGGAACACCGCCCUUCCGCGACUGUGCCUCUGACUCGGCCUCGCAGCCGGGGACAACGGCAGGUGGGCGGUUUGGCUGGGGCGGCACGCCCGCAAAAAGAUAACACGGGCGCCCAAAGGUCGGCUCAGGCGGGUCAGAAACCCGCCGUAGAGGGCAAGGCCAAAAGCCGGCCUGACUGUGCCCUUGAAAGCAAGGGGCGCAGGGGGGAAACCCGGGCCUAGCGAACGCUCGUGCCCCCUUCGGUGGGGGCCGGGCAUGACAGAAAAGUUACCCCGGGAGUAACCGGCUCGUCGCGGGUGAGAGCUCCCAUCGACCCCGCGGUUUGGUACCCAGACGUCGUCUCUUCCCAUCCUGGAAGUGCAGCAGCUUCCAAGGGUGGGGCUGCUCGCCCAUUAAAGGGGAACGUGAGAUGGGUUUAGACCGUCGCGAGACAGGUCGGACUCUAUCUGCUGGGGGUGUAGGCCGCCUGAGGGGAAGGUGCCCCUAGUACGAGAGGAACGGGGCGCCGCGGCUUCUGGUGUACCGGUUGUCUGACAAGGCAUUGCCGGGCAGCCACGCCGCAUGGGAUAACCGCUGAAAGCAUCUAAGCGGGAAGCCCUCCCCGAAAAGAGGCGGCCAUUCCUCGGUGCGGGAGUA
rnacentral:rRNA from 1 species